rnacentral:rRNA from 1 species
CAGCCGCCACGGUAAUACGUAGGGUGCAAGCGUUAAUCGGAAUUACUGGGCGUAAAGCGUGCGCAGGCGGUUUGUUAAGACAGAUGUGAAAUCCCCGGGCUCAACCUGGGAACUGCAUUUGUGACUGGCAGGCUAGAGUAUGGCAGAGGGGGGUGGAAUUCCGCGUGUAGCAGUGAAAUGCGUAGAUAUGCGGAGGAACACCGAUGGCGAAGGCAGCCCCCUGGGCCAAUACUGACGCUCAUGCACGAAAGCGUGGGGAGCAAACAGGAUUAGAUACCCCGGUAGUCCCUGUCUCUUAUAC